rnacentral:misc_RNA from 1 species
GAUGAAGAACGCAGCGAAAUGCGAUACGUAGUGUGAAUUGCAGAAUUCAGUGAAUCAUCGAAUCUUUGAACGCACAUUGCACCUCUCGGUAUUCCGGGAGGCAUGCCUGUUCGAGCGUCAUUAAAAUCACUCAAGCUUAGGUUUACCUAUUGCUUGGUCUUGGAGAUGGAAGCCAAUUUAUUGGAAUCCUCUUCGAAAUUCAAUGGCGAAGACCCUUGCUCUCCCAAGUGUAGUAAUAACUUAUGUCACUGAAGGAAGCGAGAAAUCUUCUGCCGUAACCCCCAUAUUUUCUAUGAUUGACCUCGGAUCAGGUAGGGAUACCCGCUGAACUUAAGCAUAUCAAUAAGCGGAGGA